AAGACCAGGCUGAUUGGCUAAGCAGUAGGCUGAUAACCCUCACCCUCUUUAACAGGGUAAAAGAAAACAAUUCACAUUUAGAAUCGACAAAGUCUCCUUUCACUAAACAAUCCAUUCCCAGAAUCCAGAACUAGCUGUCCCCAACCUGGAACUGGAAGAUGGAGACAUGCCAUGGAGCCUCCCUAGUGAUCCUCUGUCUUCACCUGACCUGGGUGAGCUGCCUACAGAAGGUUGAGCAGAACCCUCAGUCCCUGAAGAUCCGGGAUGGAGGGAGCGCCACAAUCAACUGCACCUACACAGACACUACUACUGACAGACUGCAGUGGUUCAGGCAGGAUCCUGGGAAAGGCCUCAUCUCCCUGGUUUACCUUACUGCAGAGGAGAAGCAGAAAGGAAGGUUAAGAUCCACAAUCAGCAGGAAGGACCAUCAGAGCUCCCUGCAUAUCACUGGUGCCCAGCCUGAAGACUCAGCCACCUACCUCUGUGCUGUGGAGGCACAGUGA